GACGAACGCUGGCGGCGUGCUUAACACAUGCAAGUCGAACGAGAACGGGUUAUAGCUUGCUAUAAUUGUCAGCUAAGUGGCGCACGGGUGAGUAAUGUAUAGGUAAUAUGCCUCUUACUAAGGGAUAACAAAUGGAAACGUUUGCUAAUACCUUAUACUCCUUAUUAACAGAAGUUAAUAAGGGAAAGAUUUAUUGGUAAGAGAUUAGCCUGUAUUGUAUCAGUUAGUUGGUGGGGUAACGGCUUACCAAGACUAUGACACAUAACUGGUUUGAGAGGAUGAUCAGUCACACUGGAACUGAGACACGGUCCAGACUCCUACGGGAGGCAGCAGUGGGGAAUAUUGCACAAUGGACGAAAGUCUGAUGCAGCAACGCCGCGUGGAGGAUGACACAUUUCGGUGCGUAAACUCCUUUUAUAUGAGAAGAUAAUGACGGUAUUACAUGAAUAAGCACCGGCUAACUCCGUGCCAGCCGCCGCGGUAACAC
rnacentral:rRNA from 1 species